rnacentral:rRNA from 1 species
GACGAACGCUGGCGGCGUGCUUAACACAUGCAAGUCGAACGGAAAGGCCCUGCUUUUGUGGGGUGCUCGAGUGGCGAACGGGUGAGUAACACGUGAGUAACCUGCCCUUGACUUUGGGAUAACUUCAGGAAACUGGGGCUAAUACCGGAUAGGAGCUCCUGCUGCAUGGUGGGGGUUGGAAAGUUUCGGCGGUUGGGGAUGGACUCGCGGCUUAUCAGCUUGUUGGUGGGGUAGUGGCUUACCAAGGCUUUGACGGGUAGCCGGCCUGAGAGGGUGACCAGCCACAUUGGGACUGAGAUACGGCCCAGACUCCUACGGGAGGCAGCGGUGGGGAAUAUUGCACAAUGGGCGGAAGCCUGAUGCAGCAACGCCGCGUGCGGGAUGACGGCCUUCGGGUUGUAAACCGCUUUCGCCUGUGACGAAGCGUGAGUGACGGUAAUGGGUAAAGAAGCACCGGCUAACUACGUGCCAGCAGCCGCGGUGAUACGUAGGGUGCGAGCGUUGUCCGGAUUUAUUGGGCGUAAAGGGCUCGUAGGUGGUUGAUCGCGUCGGAAGUGUAAUCUUGGGGCUUAACCCUGAGCGUGCUUUCGAUACGGGUUGACUUGAGGAAGGUAGGGGAGAAUGGAAUUCCUGGUGGAGCGGUGGAAUGCGCAGAUAUCAGGAGGAACACCAGUGGCGAAGGCGGUUCUCUGGGCCUUUCCUGACGCUGAGGAGCGAAAGCGUGGGGAGCGAACAGGCUUAGAUACCCUGGUAGUCCACGCUGUAAACGGUGGGUACUAGGUGUGGGGUCCAUUCCACGGGUUCCGUGCCGUAGCUAACGCUUUAAGUACCCCGCCUGGGGAGUACGGCCGCAAGGCUAAAACUCAAAGGAAUUGACGGGGCCCCGCACAAGCGGCGGAGCAUGCGGAUUAAUUCGAUGCAACGCGUAGAACCUUACCUGGGUUUGACAUGGAUCGGGAGUGCUCAGAGAUGGGUGUGCCUCUUUUGGGGUCGGUUCACAGGUGGUGCAUGCCUGUCGUCAGCUCGUGUCGUGAGAUGUUGGGUUAAGUCCCGCAACGAGCGCAACCCUUGUUCACUGUUGCCAGCACGUUAUGGUGGGGACUCAGUGGAGACCGCCGGGGUCAACUCGGAGGAAGGUGGGGAUGACGUCAAGUCCUCAUGCCCCUUAUGUCCAGGGCUUCACGCAUGCUACAAUGGCUGGUACAGAGAGUGGCGAGCCUGUGAGGGUGAGCGAAUCUCGGAAAGCCGGUCUCAGUUCGGAUUGGGGUCUGCAACUCGACCUCAUGAAGUCGGAGUCGCUAGUAAUCGCAGAUCAGCAACGCUGCGGUGAAUACGUUCCCGGG